AGGACGAACGCUGGCGGCGUGCCUAAUACAUGCAAGUCGAACGGUCUUUCUAUGGAAGCUUGCUUCCACUGAGAAGAUAGUGGCGAACGGGUGAGUAACACGUGGGUAACCUGCCCAUAAGAGGGGGAUAACAUCCGGAAACGGGUGCUAAUACCGCAUAGUUUUCUUGAUCGCAUGAUCGGGAAAGGAAAGACGGCCUUUGUGCUGUCGCUUAUGGAUGGACCCGCGGCGUAUUAGUUAGUUGGUGAGGUAACGGCUCACCAAGACGAUGAUACGUAGCCGACCUGAGAGGGUGAUCGGCCACAUUGGGACUGAGACACGGCCCAAACUCCUACGGGAGGCAGCAGUAGGGAAUCUUCCGCAAUGGACGAAAGUCUGACGGAGCAACGCCGCGUGAGUGAAGAAGGUUUUUCCGGAUCGUAAAACUCUGUUGUCAGAGAAGAACAAGUUGGAGAGUAACUGCUCCAGCCUUGACGGUAUCUGACCAGAAAGCCACGGCUAACUACGUGCCAGCAGCAGC
rnacentral:rRNA from 1 species